GGGCCCGCACAAGCAGCGGAGCGUGUUGCUUAAUUCGAUGCAACGCGAAGAACCUUACCAGGGCUUAAAUGCAGAACGACAGAGGUGGAAACACCUCCUUCUUCGGACGGUCUGCAAGGUGCUGCAUGGUUGUCGUCAGCUCGUGCUGUGAAGUGUCGGGUUAAGUCCCAUAACGAGCGCAACCCCUAUUUCUAGUUGCCAGCGGUUCGGCCGGGGACUCUAGAGAGACCGCCGGUGAUAAACCGGAGGAAGGUGUGGAUGACGUCAAGUCAUCAUGCCCCUUACAUCCUGGGCUACACACGUGCUACAAUGGUAGGGACAGAGAGUUGCCAACCCGCGAGGGUGAGCUAAUCUUCAAACCCUAUCUCAGUUCGGAUCGGAGUCUGCAACUCGACUCCGUGAAGUUGGAAUCGCUAGUAAUCGCAUAU
rnacentral:rRNA from 1 species